AUAAGCUCUGACCCUUCCUCCCUCACCCAUCUCCUCGUUAACUUAUUUUUACCUUCCUCAGCCCUGAUUUUCAGAUUACAAAUCACUGGCAAGGAUGAAGAAAACAGCUGUGCCCUCAUCUCACAAACAGAAGUGUUUUCUGAUUCCUGUUCUUCAGACAACCAUUGGAUCUGCCAAAAGACACUGAAACACGUCUGAAACCCUGUGUCCUGACUCCUGAUUAUGAAUCUCAUCUCUGUUACUUCACUAUUCACGCCAGAUCUGUGAAUUGAACAGUCUUUGCUGUUGGCCAGUCCAGUGCACCGUUAGUGGCACAAAGCAUGAAUUCCAAAACCACAGUGACUCUUACAGAUGCUCAUGUCCAGUUUCUUUAUUGUGUAAAUGCAAAUGUACACCGACACAGAUGUGCCAUUCUAAGAGAGGAGUUCUACAGAGGGUCAUCAGGGGGCACUGGAGUCUGGGAAGGUUUUGCUGAUCUCUGUGCCUGAGGUCAUCUGCAGACAGCUGCAGAAAAGAUGUUGUAAAGUCUAGAUCUCUACUCUACCCCUUCCUCAAACCAUCUAACAUCUGAACUGUAGAACUUUGAAUAAAGUAUUGUUCUUGACUGACAGCAGAGGCUCAGAGUUAAGGAGCUUGGGAUGGGAAGAGUUUGCUUUGAUUGACACCUGCAAAUCAGUCAAUUAAUAAUGGACUAAUGCUUUGAAAAUGAGUGUGACUGUAUGUAAACUGAACUCUGUCCUUAUGGCUCCCACCCUGGGUCAUUGGUGCCGAGUUUCUCAGUCUCCUUAGCUGUAUGAAAGUGGGAUCUCUUCUUGUCCAGGUUCCUGUUAUAGAAAAAAAAAUAAAAAUAAAUAAAAAUAAAAUACUGAC
rnacentral:lncRNA from 1 species